UCCUUAUGAUAACUGAAGGGUCAUCUAGAUCAGUGGAGCCUCCAAAGGUGAAGAGGCUAAGGCUUGAAAAUGAGGACGUGGAUGCCAUUGUUUUCAUCGAACAGGAUGCUGAAGGUAUACUUGUCCCGCACAAUGAUGCGGUGGUUGUAAUAGUAAAUAUUAUUGAUUUUAAUGUACACCAUGUGUUUAUUGAUAACAGA
rnacentral:lncRNA from 1 species